CACGUAGGAGACGAGCGUUAUCCGGAUUUACUGGGUGUAAAGCGUGUGCAGGCGGUUUGGUUAGUUGGAUGUGAAAGCUCCUGGCUUGACUGGGAGAGGUCGUUCAAUACUGCCAGACUUGAGGAUGGGAGAGGAAGGUGGAAUUCCGAGUGUAGUGGUGAAAUGCGUAGAUAUUCGGAGGAACACCAGUGGCGAAAGCGGCCUUCUGGCCCAUCUCUGACGCUCAUAAACGAAAGCUAGGGGAGCAAACGGG
rnacentral:rRNA from 1 species